rnacentral:misc_RNA from 1 species
GAUGAAGAACGUAGCGAAAUGCGAUACGUAAUGUGAAUUGCAAAUUCAGUGAAUCAUCGAGUCUUUGAACGCACAUUGCGCCCCCUGGUAUUCCGGGGGGCAUGCCUGUCCGAGCGUCAUUGCUGCCCUCAAGCACGGCUUGUGUGUUGCCCCGUCCUCCGAUCCCGGGGGACGGGCCCGAAAGGCAGCGGCGGCACCGCGUCCGGUCCUCGAGCGUAUGGGGCUUUGUCACCCGCUCUGUAGGCCCGGCCGGCGCUUGCCGAUCAACCCAAAUUUUUAUCCAGGUUGACCUCGGAUCAGGUAGGGAUACCCGCUGAACUUAAGCAUAUCAAUAAGCGGAGGA